AUUGAACGCUGGCGGCAUGCUUUACGCAUGCAAGUCGAACGGUAACAGGUUAAGCUGACGAGUGGCGAACGGGUGAGUAAUGCAUCGGAACGUGCCCGGUCGUGGGGGAUAACGCAGCGAAAGCUGCGCUAAUACCGCAUACGAUCUGAGGAUGAAAGCGGGGGACCGUAAGGCCUCGCGCGAUCGGAGCGGCCGAUGUCAGAUUAGGUAGUUGGUGGGGUAAAGGCUCACCAAGCCAACGAUCUGUAGCUGGUCUGAGAGGACGACCAGCCACACUGGGACUGAGACACGGCCCAGACUCCUACGGGAGGCAGCAGUGGGGAAUUUUGGACAAUGGGCGAAAGCCUGAUCCAGCAAUGCGGCGUGCAGGAAGAAGGCCUUCGGGUUGUAAACUGCUUUUGUACGGAGCGAAAAGGUCUCCUCUAAUACAGGGGGCUCAUGACGGUACCGUAAGAAUAAGCACCGGCUAACUACGUGCCAGCCGCCGCAGUAA
rnacentral:rRNA from 1 species